rnacentral:sRNA from 1 species
GCUCCCUCAUGUUGUCGCCCUGCGGCGCCCCUUCGACGACAGGCUGUGCGCGGUCUGCACGGCGCUCCGCGGCGGAGCUUCAUGUGGGGCUGCGACCCGCGCAGCCGGCGCCUCGCUGAGGGAACGGACCCCCGGUAACCGGAGACCGCCUCCCCCCCACCCCUGGCGCCAAAGGAUAUCGUAUGUUCAGGUCCAAACGCUCGGGGCUGGUGCGGCGACUUUGGCGAAGUCGUGUGGUCCCCGACCGGGAGGAAGGCGGCAGCGGCGGCGGCGGUGGCGGCGACGAGGAUGGGAGCUUGGGCAGCCGAGCUGAGCCGGCCCCGCGGGCAAGAGAGGGCGGAGGCUGCGGCCGCUCCGAAGGGCGCCCGGUAGCCCCGCGGCGGCCCCGGGACGCAGUGGAACAGCGAGGCGCCCAGGGCGCGGGGAGGCGCCGGCGCGCAGGGGGCCCCCCGAGGCCCAUGUCGGAGCCAGGGGCCGGCGCUGGGAGCUCCCUGCUGGACGUGGCGGAGCCGGGAGGCCCGGGCUGGCUGCCCGAGAGUGACUGCGAGACGGUGACCUGCUGUCUCUUUUCGGAGCGGGACGCCGCCGGCGCGCCCCGGGACGCCAGCGACCCCCUGGCCGGGGCGGCCCUGGAGCCGGCGGGCGGCGGGCGGAGUCGCGAAGCGCGCUCGCGGCUGCUGCUGCUGGAGCAGGAACUCAAAACGGUCACGUACUCGCUGCUGAAGCGGCUCAAAGAGCGCUCGCUGGACACGCUGCUGGAGGCGGUGGAGUCCCGCGGCGGCGUGCCGGGCGGCUGCGUGCUGGUGCCGCGCGCCGACCUCCGCCUGGGCGGCCAGCCCGCGCCGCCGCAGCUGCUGCUCGGCCGCCUCUUCCGCUGGCCCGACCUGCAGCACGCCGUGGAGCUGAAGCCCCUGUGCGGUUGCCACAGCUUCGCCGCCGCCGCCGACGGCCCCACCGUGUGCUGCAACCCCUACCACUUCAGCCGGCUCUGCGGGCCAGGUGAGCGCGCUGCGCCGGCCGGGGGGGCCCCGGCUCCCCGUCCCCAUCCCCUUCCGUGCCCUUCUCUCUGUGACACUGCGGGUCGGCGCAGCUGCGGGUGCUCCCCCGGGUGCCCUUGGAGCGUGGAAGCCACCAGGGGAGGUGCCUCAGACCGGCCGCGGGGAGUGGGUGUCCCAGCACACACAUCAAGUGGCAACUUUAUCUCAAGGCUCCGGUAAACUUAAAAGGGUACAUGUCGUAGUUUUCUCUGUGCAGUUUCAGGGACAUGAUGUAGGCUCCAACUUCAUAGGCAGUGAAAGGGGAGGGCGGGCCAAGGAGAGACCAAAGAAGUAGGUGCUAUUUCCUCCUACCUCAAUUCCGGAAUCUACCCCAGUCUGCCCAGGCUUCUAGCAUUUGUAUGCACGUGCCCUUACCGAUACUGUGCUUUUCUAUGUCCAAGUAGCUGUAAGUUGUGAAAUUGGGUGUACACAAAUCAUAGCUAGAAUCAAAAGUGUUCGUCAAAUGUCCGAUGUGCCUUUGUAUACUUUCGACAAAGCUUUGCAGGGUAACCCCUCUCUGGAGUAAAGAGCACCCUCUUUAUUCCCCACUUAUUAUCUUUCCCCACAUCCCUUGGGUGUCAAGUGCCAGGGUCUUCCACAGUCCUUCUCAAGUUUUGUGUUCAGCUUUUGUAUAGAGUUUAGGGUCUUGGAGGCAUCCGUGGGUAGGUGAAGAAGCCAGAUACUGGAUUACCUCUGAGAACUGCCCCCCUUCUUUGUUCUCCUCUUGGGAUUUCCUGCACACACCCCACCCUCAGCCUUGCUUACCUGGCCAGGCCCUGGUGCUCAGGUGCAGACAGGUGGAGGCCCCAGCAGGUCAGGAGGCUCCAGCAGGCCAGGAGCUUGCAGUUGCCUUGCUCUGACCUCUGUCUUGUGGGGAACACACAUUUUAGCCUGUAGCUAGCCUCUGAGGGAUGUAUGGGAAUCCAUUAGGUGGCACUGGGGUUUUGCAGGGAUGGGACUGGCAGGGAGUCACAGGCUCUUGAGCCUGGGAGGGCUCUGAAUCCCUCCAUUCUGGCUUCCCUGGGGAGAGUCAGCACCCAGGCUGGGAGCACAGAGAGGGUCAGGUUGUAGGUCUCCUGACUCUCUGUGUGGAAGGGGAAAGUGGGCCUAGGACGGUGCAUUUGUCCUAGGUGUCUUGUUUGCGUGUGGAGUAGUGUCUGGAGAGGAAAGGAAGUUUCCCCUCAGUGACGAUUCCUGCAUAGAGGGCAUUGAUGGGGGCGGGUGGGGAGGGGCAGUGCUGAUCAGGCACCCUACUCCCCUCAUGGUCACUCCAGUCCCAAUUUAGGAGCUAUGAGCAGUCCCUGAUCUGUGGCUCAUGCCAGGCUUUCUAUGUACUAUUUUCCCUUUCCUGACAGCUUUCCCUGGAAGUGACUUUCUCCCCUUUGCCAACUAUGUCUCCUCCCUGCCUCUGGGGAAGGAGACCCUUAUUUAUGGUUGUCUUGUUCCUGGUGAUUUUUUUUUUUUUUUUUUAAAGUAGGUCCCUUCCACUCUUGUAGAAGCCCCUGGCAGGUGUAUUCUCUCUCGCCACUUCAGUGUGCAGCAAAUGUUUGUUGAGCAAUUACUCUGGGCCAGGCACUGUGCUGGGUGCUGUGGCUAACAGAGUGGAAAUAUGAGUAGGAUCUGUGCCCUCAAGAAACAUAAUCUCACGAGGGAUUUAUGGGGGAGAGAUGGGGGAAGAAGGUAAGUGUGCAGGGCCAGGUCAUUGGGUGUGAACUACCAGAAGGCUAUGGGUGUGUAUGUAAUAGGAUGGCAUGCAGGAGCUCCACAGCUCCAACCUGGAGCAGGACCUUGGAGGAUGGGUCCGAGGAGAGGGAGCCAGCCAGCUCAGAUUCAAGGUGCCAGGCACGUUCAGGUGGUUGGGCAGGGAGGGGAGGAGUGAAAAAGUUGGAGACGAUGGACAGGACCACUCCUGCUACUACUCCUGGGACUAGGAGUUGGCUUGGGUGUUGGUUUGCAUUUGGUGGUUUUGGAGAGGUACAGGUCAAGAGAUACCUGGCAAGCUGCAGUAGAACGGUUCUUGACCAUGGACCUGGUCCUAGGCUCUGCCCAGCUAGUAACCUGCAGCUUGACUUUGGAUGAGUUACCUCCCCUCUCAGCCACCGUGCUGGUCAGUGGGGGUGGCUCUAGGAAUAUUCUUCCUAUCUAAAUCUGGACUAAGCCUUGGGACUUGAUUCCCCUCCUUCUCCCAGAAGGAGGCGCUGUUGCCAGGGCUGCAGCACCCCAAGUCUCCUCCCGUUUCUUUGCUAGCUGCUAGCCUGUGGGGCCCCCAUUCAGCCACCCUGGGGACAGCUGGGAGGACCGAUGGUCAGGGAAGAGUUUCCAGUAUGUGCCAGGUUGACCCUCUUGCCCCUGGCCUGAGAGCUGGGGGAGCCCUGGGCUGCCGACCCCGCCUCCGCCGCCUGGCCGCCAGCCUGGCUCCUGUAACUGGGCGGGCGCAUAGCUGGAGCUCAGCGGUGCGCGUCCUGAUAAGGAGACUGCGCCUUCCAGGGCUCCGGGGAGAGGGCCGGGGCACCGGGCAGACAGAUGCGCGCACACACACAGCGCAGGCACACCGCUAGCGAGCAAAGUACACUGGAACACCGGCACUGAGGGACUCCCACCUGGCAGCAGUCACCUCCGCACCUUCACCGACCACCGCAGGGAGCCCCGGUGACAGGAGACCUCUUCCUGAGCAGUGUGGACCCCUGCUGUUCAGAGCCCACUCUCAAUCAACUUGAGUUGUGGCCUUGGGGCUAGUUUCCUCUUUGGGCUUCUUUUCCUAUAUCUAAAGUAAGCGGUUGGAGGGAAUCCCUGAGGGCUGAUGUGCAGAUUCCAGGCCACACAGGCCUCCGUCCCCUCCCCCACUCUGCCCCAGGCUUGUCUCGGAAACUGGGGUCCUCAGGAGGGGACCCACCUCUGCUGGGCAUGGGCUAGGGGCCUCCUGGCCUCCCAGCCCGUGGGAGUCAGGCCCAGCUCUGCCUCCCCCUUGGGUGUCUUUCUGUCCCAGGAAAAGCCAGUUCGCUGAGCUCGGUGGGUGCCUAUGUGGACGGAAAUGUGGAGAAAUACUUUAAUCACAGCUCUAACCUGUGUUUACAGAGCUCCUUUCUCCUGAAAGUAUCCAUUAACUUCGGAAUAAAUCUCCUGCUCUUUGCUUCCCCACUUUUUUUUUUUCUGUAAUUAUAUUCAGUAAAUUACUAUUAUCCAAAUUGCGCCCGGGGAAGAGAGACAGAGCGAGAGAGAGAACUUCUAAACGACUGGAGGAGGCCGCCUAGGAAAACACAGGGUUCCCAGGCCAGGACUAUAGGAAUUAGAAUGGGCUAGAAAGUUUUCCUUUUAUUUGGCCUGGCAUUAUCCCUUUGAAAUGAGAUCAAUUUCAAGUUGGGCUUCCAAGCCCCCGCCCUGCCCGGCUCAGCGGCCCCUAGCCCUGCUUGUCUGCUCCUCCUAGCUCCUCCUGGAGGUGAGGAAGGGGUGAUAAUGUGCAGUUUGCCUCUUGCUGGCGCCAGCCGGCCGCGCUGUUUAUCUGGCUGCCAGGGGAAUCUGGGCAAUUAGGCUCAGCCGGCCUUAAAGUGCCAGGAGCUCCUUUUUUGCGUCUCCCAUCAUGGGGCUUAGGGUUGAGUCUUCAGGUUCUGGGGGCAGGAAGGACGGGCACUCAGGAGGCCCCCUCCCCACCCACAGCCCCUCUGUGGGAGGGGGGAAACUUGGCAACCCGGGAGGCAUGUGGAUCUUUUCCUAAGCAAGAUGCUGAGCUGGAAAGAUGGGGGUGUAAGGUAGUGUCCCAAACUGAAACUUUGCCAGGCACUGGGAGAGGCUGUGAACUCUUUUCUGGCUUUAGAAUUUAGGUCUAGAUCCCAAAAGGCUAAGUACCCCCUGGGGGCUAACCAGAGGCAUGCCUGGGCUGAGCUGAACCUUCUGGUGCACUGGCCCCUGGCUGACUGCUCUUGCUUCUGCAGGAAGUUGGAGGAGAUUCCUGAAGUUGAUGCCUCAGGCUGGAUGUCCAAAGGGGGUUGGAGUUUCUGAUGUCUUUCUGUCUCCCUCUCUUUUCUUUUUCUCCCUACCAGGUCCACUUCUUUCAGAGGGGCCUGCAGUGCUCUAAAAGUUCUCCUGUUAAAGUUUAGAGCAUAUUGGUUAUUAUUUUAAAAUCAAUACAACUUUUAAAAGUA